rnacentral:rRNA from 1 species
AAACCAACAGGGAUUGCCUUAGUAACGGCGAGUGAAGCGGCAACAGCUCAAAUUUGAAAUCUGGCUCUUUUAGAGUCCGAGUUGUAAUUUGCAGAGGGCGCUUUGGCGUUGGCAGCGGUCCAAGUUCCUUGGAACAGGACGUCACAGAGGGUGAGAAUCCCGUACGUGGUCGCUAGCCAUCGCCGUGUAAAGCCCCUUCGACGAGUCGAGUUGUUUGGGAAUGCAGCUCUAAAUGGGAGGUAAAUUUCUUCUAAAGCUAAAUACUGGCCAGAGACCGAUAGCGCACAAGUAGAGUGAUCGAAAGAUGAAAAGCACUUUGGAAAGAGAGUCAAAUAGCACGUGAAAUUGUUGAAAGGGAAGCGCUUGCAGCCAGACUUGCCUGUAGUUGCUCAUCCGGGCUUUUGCCCGGUGCACUCUUCUGCGGGCAGGCCAGCAUCAGUUUGGGCGGUUGGAUAAAGGUCUCUGUCAUGUACCUCUCUUCGGGGAGAACUUAUAGGGGAGACGACAUACAACCAGCCUGGACUGAGGUCCGCGCAUUUGCUAGGAUGCUGGCGUAAUGGCUGUAAGCGGCCCGUCUUGAAACACGGACCAAGGAGUCUAACAUCUAUGCGAGUGUUUGGGUGUCAAGCCCGAGCGCGUAAUGAAAGUGAACGGAGGUGGGACCCCUUUUAGGGUGCACCAUCGACCGAUCCUGAUGUCUUCGGAUGGAUUUGAGUAAGAGCAUGGCUGUUGGGACCCGAAAGAUGGUGAACUAUGCUUGAAUAGGGUGAAGCCAGAGGAAACUCUGGUGGAGGCUCGCAGCGGUUCUGACGUGCAAAU